GGGGGGUUGGCAUUGGCAAGGAGCAUUUUCACUGCCUGUUCAUACAAUAUGGAUGUGCUGUAGUUGUGAGCGAGAGUUGGGCGUGCAAACAGACUGGCUAAAGAGGUUUUUGUUUUGUAUGGAGAUAUGAAGUAACACACGGAAUUACAUUUUGUUGCAUCUCUUUUAAGUUAUGUGUGUAACUGUUUGACUCUCGAGUCAAAUCGUUCUUGUUUAAAAUGUAAAAACAGAAACAAAAAAAGAGAGGUAAAAAAAAAGUGCUCUGGGUGUAAGAGAAGCGAGUAAGCAAAUGUAAAAUAUGGAUGUAAGAUGUGCGAUCAGUGCCCGGGUGUCUCUCUAUUGACCGUUGAAGUGUAGGCUAUAGCAAACUGCAUUAACACAAACACGCUUUCCCAAAACGUGAUGGGCUUUUUUUUUAUUUACCGAACUAUGGCUUGUUUCACAUUGCUCUCUUAAAUGUAUUUCUCUAACUUUUCUUUUUCUUAUUUUUGCCGUAAAUAGAAGCACUGUUUCCAGAAAUGUCUACGUGUUUUUGUUUUCAUAAAAGAAGAGGGGGAAUAUUAACUGAGGACACAUUUCCAUGAGCCUUUGGCAUCACUUUUUGCUUGAUCUCAAAGUUCAGCCUUCGCAUAGGGGUUGGUUUCUCCGCCACGGGUUUCGCUGCGAGCGACACAGAGGUGUAUUAUAUAUGCUGUGUAAGACAUGAGUCAGGCCGUGGAGUUAUUUUGCUCUGCUAUCAAGUUGUAUCGCUUUCAAAACAUCAGCUCAGGUCACAGCAAACAGUACACCUAUUGACACUGAACCGCAAGAUCCAAGAGAAAUUCACCACACAUGCAUGAUUUGGUUUUCCAAUAUUGCUCAUUUCUUGGGUCUUGUUACAGUGCUGACUCUUAACACAGAGACAACAGAACUGAAAUGGGGCCCCAUACUUUUUUUCAUGUCACUCUUAAAGGCCUAGCGUUCAAAGGAUAAUACAGGUUUUUUCACCAAAUUCUAUCAGUUUGAGGCAAUUGUCAUUCACAACAGAUCACUGAGCCCCAGGGAUAGGACCACUAUAAACUAAAGCCUUGUUCUAUUACCUUAUCUUUGCUAACUGUUAAUUACCUGUGCCAUGACUGAGAACAGACACCAACGGCACACCUAAAACCGGUAUUUUCCAGAUGGCAUUGAAAGUUUAUAGUAACACAAUGAGGGCGGGCGGAUAACUCAAUUUAUGUUUCACUGUGCUGAACAAACCAUAAAUAUCCUGUCAUAGCGAGCUGAAACACCUGUACCUCAUAUUACAUCUGGGCAGAGUGGGCGGACAAACGGGCAAUAAAGCCAAACUUAUAAAAAACAUGAGAGGAAUAAACCGGCAUUUCAAAAAAGGAAUGUCUGGUAGACAUCCAGUAAAACAAAGCCACAGACACACACUGCCUCCCCCUGCAAUCAGACAUAUUGACACCCAACGGACCCACUGUAUGGACCCAGUCCAUCUAUCCGUGACGCACACAGACACACACAUACACAGCCAAACCCUGUUCAGCUGUAUCGAGGUGAGCCUAUCUGAAUUAGAAAUAAGUUUGACAUUAUAGAAGAGUUCUCUAGCUGUGCACCCGAAGCCCUCUGGCCCAUCAUGACUAAUGAAAAAACCAAAAAAACACUCAGAUGUCUUUAUUCCACUGUGGCCCACUGUGAAUAUGUCCUCUCUGUCGCAAUAUCUCUCUCUCUCUCUCUCUCUCUCUCUCUCUCUCUCUCUCUCUCUCUCUCUCUCUCUCUCUCUCUCUCUCUCUCUCUCUCUCUCUUUACAUCUCUUGUUUCUUCUACCUAUUUCCAUCAGCCUGCCGCUUACUUGACUGAUAUCAAGUAAGCUGCUUUUGCUUCUUCAAUCUACAUUGUGUUUCUCUUGCUGUUUCAUUAUUUGUGUUUGUGUGUGGUAUGACCUCUUUGGGUAUGAUCGUCUUGGUGGAUGGUUAUGAUGGGUAGAGAUGCGUAGUUGUAUGAGCCACGCAGGCUUUUUAUUAGCUAUGGGUCUAAUUAGGAACUUAUUUUACCACGUGGACGCGCAACAAAGAGCGCGCACGUCUGACGACGUUGACUUCAACCGUUGUGACGUCAAUCUCUUUUUCCUCUUGAACUGGGGACGACAUUAUCGCAGAGGAGAGGAGUAAUGGAGGAGCACUCGCUGGACGAGGUACUAAUUGGGCGGGAAAACAGAGACCGGUUAGGCGGAACAACUGUCCCAUCAUCGCGGCGGGAAAAGGCGGCGGAUGGGACCUCGAAUAAAACAACGCAAAGGGAAGGAAGUGGCCCCCAAAAACAAAAAAUUAUCUUCAGUGCAUCUGGGAAAGGCUGACAUCCAAAUCACAAUUCCGACCCCCCUCUUCAUCUCCUCAAAGCCACGAGGUGGGUGUGGCGGGAAAGAGCUAAGUACGCCAGUUCCAGCUCCAGAAGGCCUCUCUCUUUCACGAUGCAACCUUAUUAACUUUAAAC
ensembl:lncRNA